CUUGCCUCAGCAACAUAUACUAAAAUUGGAAUUAUACAGAGAAGAUUAGCUUGGCCCCUGCACAUAGUUGACAUGCAAAUUCAUGAAACAUUCCAUAUUUUA